CCUACGGGCGGCUGCAGUGGGGAAUAUUGGACAAUGGGGGGAACCCUGAUCCAGCCAUGCCGCGUGUGUGAAGAAGGCCCUCGGGUUGUAAAGCACUUUCAGUGAGGAAGAACGCCUGGUGGUUAAUACCCAUCUGGAAAGACAUCACUCACAGAAGAAGCACCGGCUAACUCCGUGCCAGCAGCCGCGGUAAUACGGAGGGUGCGAGCGUUAAUCGGAAUUACUGGGCGUAAAGCGCGCGUAGGUGGCUUGAUAAGCCGGUUGUGAAAGCCCCGGGCUCAACCUGGGAACGGCAUCCGGAACUGUCAAGCUAGAGUGCAGGAGAGGAAGGUAGAAUUCCCGGUGUAGCGGUGAAAUGCGUAGAGAUCGGGAGGAAUACCAGUGGCGAAGGCGGCCUUCUGGACUGACACUGACACUGAGGUGCGAAAGCGUGGGUAGCAAACAGGAUUAGAUACCCUGGUAGUC
rnacentral:rRNA from 1 species